CCUUCCGCGGCUCGGAGAGGAAGGCAGGGGAGCCCCCAAAUAUCAUUCCCCUCCCGCCCCCUAGGGAAACUGAUGCUGAAAGAGCCAGCGAGAGAAAGAAAAAAAAAGUUGCGGAGAGGGGCGGCCCAAGCGACCGAGGGCAGCGCCAGCGACGGAGGGAAAUUAGUCGAGAGGACAGGAAGACAAGCCCCCCUAAUUUAGGAAACUCCGAAGCUUGGAGCUGGAGUCCUGAAAAUGACUCCGAUGACAACUGCUCCGGAUCUGUGCCAGGAGCCACGCCCCGGGCUGCCACGCCCAGAGGGAGGGGCGCCCUAAGACCUGUUGCGUGGAAUCCCUACUUGGAAAGCCUCAGUAAGCUCCAGAACGCAACUACUGCACGUUCCAAUGUCCCGCCACCUUCCCAGUGCCCCGCCACCUUCCCAGUGCCCCAGCGAGGACCUCGAUCACCUCAGCAAGAACUUACCUUUCCUUUGCAGUGGAAAAGAGGGAAUCCUGCCUAAAACCUACUUCACGGUGUUAAAUGUUUGUAUUAUCGGAAAAUAGCCUUAAUUGAUUUACCGGACAGGUCACUAGGUUUCAGCUUAGCCCAAAAGACGAAUCAUGAUGACAUUUCAGGCACCCUCAAACCUUAUCACAGGAACUCAACCCUGAGUGGUUGAGGUCAGGUCUUCAGAUAAGAGAAAGGUUUUAUAAACAUAUUAAUAUUUACUGAGAUAAGUGACAACCAAAAAGUAAUUUAAAGAAAAAUAGUUGGUCGAGCGCGGCAGCUCACACCUGCAAUCCCAGUCCUUUGAGAGGCCAAGACCAGAGGAUAGAUUGAGGUCAGGAGUCCAAGACCAGCCUAGGCAACAUAGCAGGACCUCGUCUUUAGAAAAAAUUUGAAAAAUUAGCCGGGCAUGGUGGUGCGCACCUGUGGUCCCAGCUAGCGAGAGGCUGAGGUGGGAGGAUUGCUUGAGCCUGGGAGGUGGAUGUUGCAGUGAGCCGUGAUUGCACCAGUGCACUCCAGCUUGGGUGACAGAGCAAGACCCUGUCUCAAAAUUUUUUUAAAAAGAGGCUGGGUGCGGUGGCUCACGCCUGUAAUCCCAGCACUUUGGGAGGCUGAGGAGGGCGAAUCUCGAGGUCAGGAGUUCGAGACCAGCCUGGCCAAUAUGGUGAAACCCCAUCUAUACUAAAAAUACGAAAGUUAGCAAGGCGUGGUGGUGCGCGCCUGUAGUUACAGCUGCUCCGGAGCCUGAGGCAGAAGACUCGCUUGAGCCCGGGAGGUGGAGGUUGCAGUGAGCUGAGAUCGCACCACUACCCUCCAGCCUGGCGACAGAGCAAGACUCGUCUCAAAAAAAAAUAAAAUUAAAAAAACAAAGAAAAGAAAGAUAUCUAACAGGAUUCUGUACACCAAAUGGCUUAUUUCAAUCUAGUUAGGAAAAUGGAACACAUAUGUGAAAUGAAGAUUAAAAUACAAGCACUAAUUGCCAAAUAAAUGCAUUCAAUACAAUUUGGUUGAGCUCUAAGGGUGACAAAUGUGUAUGUCUCCAAGGACCAGGUAAGUAAUGUAAGUCAAUAAAGUAGGCAAGAUGAAGACUAGGCCAAUGGAAGUGCCCAUAUUUUGUUUGAAGAGGGUGGCCAGGCACGGUGGCUCAGGUCUGUAAUCCCAGCACUUUAUGAGGCCAGAUGGGAGGAUCACUUGAGCCCAGAAGUUUGAGAUUAGCCUGGGCAACAUGGUGAAAUCCUGUCUACUAAAAAUACAAAAAUUAGCUGGGCGUGGUGACUCAUGCCUGUAAUCCCAGCUACUUGGGAAGCAGACAGGAGAAUCGCUUGAACCCAGAAGGCAGAGGCUGCAAUGAGCCAAGAUCGUGCCACUGGACUCCAGCCUGGGUGACACGGCAAGACUCUGUCUCAAAAAAAAAAAAAAAA
ensembl:lncRNA